UACAGAGGGUGCGAGCGUUGUCCGGAAUUACUGGGCGUAAAGGGCUCGUAGGCGGCCAACUAAGUCAGACGUGAAAUCCCCAGGCUCAACCUGGGAACUGCGUCUGAUACUGGAUGGCUUGAAUCCGGGAGAGGGAUGCAGAAUUCCAGGUGUAGCGGUGAAAUGCGUAGAUAUCUGGAGGAAUACCGUGGCGAAGGCGGCAUCCUGGACCGGCAUUGACGCUGAGGAGCGAAAGCCAGGGGAGCAAACGGG
rnacentral:rRNA from 1 species